GGAAUAUUGAAGAGUAUUUAUUGUUAUGAAAACACCCACUAAACUUGGCCUAGGUUGAGUGGAACAAAUGACGUGACCUUACACAAAAUGGCGGCGGAUGAUGAUGAUGCAUGACGUGGUCAUGUGACCAGCUGGUGAUACACCGACGGGAUCUACGUCCACGUCGAUAACAUGGAGGAGGGGGCAAUUGAUUUCUUGCUUGUGGUCUAAGAAACUGUCGUGGAGGAGAAGACAGUCACCCCUAGUCCAAUUUACACUCAUUCCGCCCGAGGCGGCCAUCUUUGACAACCAUCUUUGACGACCAUCUUUGCCGACCGUCUUUGCCAACCGUCUUUGACAACCGUCUUUGACGACCUUCUUUGACAACAGUCUUUGACAACCAUCUUUGACGUCCUUCUUUGACGAUCAUAUUUGACAACUAUCUUUGAGGACCAUCAUGUCACCCGCUGCUGUUUUCUGAGGACAUCAUAAAGGAUGAUAAUCUGAGUGUAAGAUGCCUUGGCCAUCGCUGACUGUUCUCAUAGGUUCCAUACCUGAAUUGGAAUUUUCAUUUUGCGAUUUGGCAAAUUGUAUUAUAAUCAAAGUUUGUUCACUCUUUUGUGAAGGUGUUAAGAUGCAAUUGUAUAGUUCCCUGUUUAAUGAUGCGGUUGGGUGUAGUGUACAUAUAUAUAUAUACUGCCUCCGCUUGUGUCCCCCUCACUGGGCUAUUUGAGCAUUUCUCUGGCUAUUUCCCGGUUCGGCACAGGACAUCUAUGGCAAAAUUAUUUAGAAGUAUUCGCUUAUGCACGGUCACUUGCAGGGUCUUCGUUCACCUUGAGAAAGAAAUAAUAAAAUGAUUUAGAACUA